GUCUACGGCCAUACCACCCUGAACAGUCCUUAUCUUGUCUGAUCUCGGAAGCUAAGCAGGAUUGGGCCUGGUAGUACUUGGAUGGGAGACCACCUAGGAAGAUCAGGUGCUGUAGGUG
rnacentral:rRNA from 1 species